CUGCUCAAAACUGUGGGCCCUUAUCAUCACUGCGCCAUUCUCAGUCUCCCUUUUUCCCCACUCCAGGGUGGCCUCAAAGUCCUGAUUCUCUGGUCUCGACCUGGAAUGAUCUGGAAUGCCCUUUCUUUCUGGAAUGUUUUUUCCUUAAUGCUCCGCAUGGCUUGUUCCCAUACUUCCUUCAGGUCUGGGCUCACACCGCCUUCAGCGACUCCCUCCCCUGCUUAUGUCCUCCCCUGCUUAUGUCCUCCCCUUGGCCCUCAUCAGAAAGCCCGUGACUUUUACGUAUUAGUCUCGCAGGUGGCUUCUGGCACCGGGAACACAAGCCCCGUGAGGACAGGCCGUUCUACUUUUCACUCCAGCGCCGGCCAGCCUGAAUGGAUGACUGCGCGCGCUGGGAAGCCAGGACCCCAGGGGCAGGAGGUCCCCGGCUUCUCAAGGCUACCUGGAAAGGAGUUGACCAGCAGCAAGAGAGCUGGUUUUGAGCCACGAUUUGCCACCAGACAGCAGAGCCAGACAGCAGAGCAGCAAGAAGACAUUGGGCGGGGGCUGAGGAUUAGCCCAAACAAAACACCAAAGAACGCAAAUCUGAGGUUCAGCACGAGGAGGGAGAAUACAGCUCGGCCCCUGGGUGUGGGCUUUCUCUUU